rnacentral:lncRNA from 1 species
AAAGAAUAAACAUAUACAUGACUCAUAAGCUUUUAUAGAAUCCUUGUUCUCUAUUUCUGACAUAAUUUCUUGUGGUUCUUUUUCUUCCUAGGGUCAGAAUAAAAUCUUUCAAAAGAUUUCUUGGGAACUGAGAUAAGAGCAGAUUUGCGUCCCUUAUCAGUGGGUCUUUAGCUCCAUGGUGCACUCAUAUUGUAGGCUGUUCAAGCAUAGAAGGUUUCAUGCAAUGAAGAAGAUGGAUUCUUCCUGCUGGACACAAAGAAAGUUAUUUUACCUAUUGCCUAAAUUGAAAAGAGACAAAGAGUACUGCUUGAUUUCAACUUGUCAGCAAGAACUCAGGAGAAAGGAGUUUCCUAACAAGUUGAAGAGGCGUUUCAAAAACAUGUAUCAACACUAAGGUGAGACUAACAUUGGUACCAGCGUAAAACAGAGCUCAGUCUUAACUUCUAAUUUUUCCAAAAUCAGUAGGAAGGGCCAAUGAUAGCUAGGGUGAUGGCUUUUCUAGUCGAUUGGAAAAAUGCUCAGGUGAAAUGUUAAAAAGACUCUAACCAGAGUUCCUGUUGUGGCUCAGCAGAUUAAGGACCCUGUGUUGUCUCUGUGAGGAAGCAGUUUCAAUCCUUGGCCUGGCUCAGUAGGUUAAGGAUCCAGCAUUGCCUUAAGCUGUUGAUGUAGGUGGCAGAUGCAGGUUGGAUCCAGUGUUUCUGUGGUUGUGGCCUAGGCCCCAGCUGAAGCUCAGAUCUGAUCCCUGGUUUAGGAACUUUCGUUUGCUGCAGGUGUGGCUAUAAAAAGAAUAAAAAGAAGACUCUAAUCCCUGAGUACUCUCA